rnacentral:lncRNA from 1 species
AUGUGUUUUGUAUUCUCAGCCAAAAUGCUAACAAUAGCACACAACACGGUGACAAGUAGAAGUACAAGGGCCACUGAGUGUGACUAUUUCCCCAAUAUAUCAUGGCGACACAAACAUCUGUUACUAAAUAGCAGGGAUGGUCUAUGGCACUCUUGCAGGAUGUCACAAGCACCAUUGAAGAUUCAAGGAGUAAAGCGGAAGGGAGAAAUGGCAGUGAUCAUCUAUAAACUCAGAACAAUGUUCAGUGAUCACUUGUCUCAAAAGGGGAUAGACCACAGCAUGAUCCCUCCAGAGAAAUGCACUGCAAAAUGCAAGAAGAAAUGCAACCAAGGAGUGAGAGAGAACUGGACCCAAUGUUUUUCAAAAGAGUCACAGAGAAAAAUUAACAGGGGCUGUAACCAGCAAGAUUGCUUCAGAAAAUAAACGGGAAUUGCUGUUCAGAAGAGUCCUUGGUGAGCAGAGCAAGGAGGAGGAAGGGGGAGAGGGGAGGAGACUGGAGGAAGAGGCGGAAAUCAAAAGGGAAGCACUGGAAAGGAAGAGACAAAGGGCACCUGUGUUUUACAUAUGUGGAGAGAGAAAAGCAAUACAAUCAGCAUGCUUUAUUUUCAUGUGCUCAAGCCAUUACAUCACACAGGAGAGGUAUAAUAAACUGUACUAGCGAGUGGUUAGGUCA